CUGGAAUGAUUUUACUGACUAAAAUCCUCCAACACAUCAUGACCCAGUACCAGGUUCUGGUUCUGGUUCUGGUUCUGAAGUCAGCAGGUCUUUAUUGGAGCAGCAGCUUGUUGGCAUUAAUAUUCAUGAGAAUCUUUAACUGGUUCUGUUAGACUGGUUAACCUGCAUCCUGUUGGUUCACAUCUUUUAUUCUUUAUUCAGGUUGAGGAGCUGCAGUUUGUCAAAGAUCAGCUGUGAUUAUUUGGUCUUAGCUCUGAAGUCCAACCCGACCCGUCUGACAGAACUGAACCUGGAAGGAAACAAGCUGAAGUAUUCAGAUGUUCAGCAGCUGAAGAAUCUUGUAAAGACUGUAAAGUUCUGAACGUAGAGAACGUCUCUGUGUCCUGCUGAUCCUCACAGGUUGAAGCUGCAGCAGUUUGAGUCUAAAGAGACUCUGGAUCAAGAUGAUGACCUCUGACCUCAAAGGUUUCCCUCCUGUUUAUUUCCUCAUGUCUGUCAUUUAGUGUCUGAUAUUGUUUGUCUCUUGGGAUCAAUAAAGAUCCAGUUCAAACUGGGCUCCAUUUAGAGGCUUCAUGGACUUUUGAUCUGAACUGGAUUCAACUGGAAAGUUGAUCUUUUUUCUCUCUGGUUCAUUUUCCUCCUGGAUCCAGAAAUGGUCAGAAUGGAAACAUGGGAAUCAUUUCCAGUUCAGCUCUGAGGUCAUAAAGACGCUUCAAGCCUCUUUUCUCUGCUGCUUCUUCCUUCAGCUGACAUGAAAAUGUUCCUCAAAGCUCCACAGAUAAAAAGAUGCAGAGAAACUUCAGCUUCCAGCACAGAAACCAGUUGACCCAGUUUAGAACUGGACGUCCUGCAGAAACUCUGAUCUUGGAUCAGUUUUCAGAAACAUCCAUCAUUUAUCUGGAAAAUAAUUUUAUAUAUUGUUAAUGUAAAUUCUAAAAUAAUGAAGUUUUGCAUCAUUAUUGAUUCUCAGCUCUAAUUUUCUCAGUUUGUUUUGGUUUUUAAUUUUUUAACUCCAUAUUUCAUGUUUUCUAGAGAACUUUAGGACUCGAUGUCUCAUCAGGCUCUUUACUGAGAUAAAGAGCCAUCAGUGUGAUAAUGUGCUGAUUGGUUCAUGAUUAUUUUGAUAUUUAUUAUGUAAUGUGGGUUUUGAGUAUUUAAUAAUGACUUAAAGUUUUAAAUAAUGUUCUUUGUGGGUUUCUAUGCAGCUGAUUGUGUGUAAAUAUAAAAGGUGCAACAUUAUUUUCCCUCCAAGUUUCUAUUGGCUGGUUUUACUGAAGAUGUGUUCAGGUACGCAGGAAAAUUCAGCGCUGAUACAGACGGGACGAGCGACUCCACCUCUGAUGAUGCUUGGAUAAAAGUUUAUAUGUUCAUGAGAUGAAACAGUUAAUUUUCCUCACAUAUCAGGACAUUCUCCAUCGGUCAUCCUGCCGUCGUUCUGGAUUUAUUCAUUAUUUACAUCAUCAAUAGAAAUUGUUCAACCAGA